AGCGAGUGGGAUGUGGCCAACACCUCAAUGUUGUUGACACGAUCAAGCCACGCCGGGUCUAGCCGAUCCCUAGCGGGAAACAAGCCGAUUGGGUCCAAGGUGACCUCAAGCGGGUGCAGCUGACAGAACUGGGUGAGGAUUUGUAGAGCAAUCGACUCCCAUGUAUCUUCCAGGGCGUGACCGUAAGUUGAGACUCCGAGCUGGGGCCACUCGGGCCGCACAGGGGGUGGAGGUACCACCGCCUGCACGUUGCACCUUUGUACACCGUGCUCCAAGUACAUCCGUCCCACAUACAAGGGCGGGGACUUAUACCCGACCACCUCAAGG
rnacentral:lncRNA from 1 species